GUCCAGACUCCUACGGGAGGCAGCAGUGAGGAAUAUUGGUCAAUGGCCGAGAGGCUGAACCAGCCAAGUCGCGUGAGGGAAGACGGCCCUACGGGUUGUAAACCUCUUUUGUCGGGGAGCAAAGAGAGUCACGUGUGACUCAUUGAGAGUACCCGAAGAAAAAGCAUCGGCUAACUCCGUGCCAGCAGCCGCGGUAAUACGGAGGAUGCGAGCGUUAUCCGGAUUUAUUGGGUUUAAAGGGUGCGUAGGCGGGCUUUUAAGUCAGCGGUAAAAAUUCGGGGCUCAACCCCGUCCGGCCGUUGAAACUGGGGGCCUUGAGUGGGCGAGAAGAAGGCGGAAUGCGUGGUGUAGCGGUGAAAUGCAUAGAUAUCACGCAGAACUCCGAUUGCGAAGGCAGCAUACCGGCGCCCGACUGACGCUGAAGCACGAAAGCGUGGGUAUCGAACAGGAUUAGAUACCCGAGUAC
rnacentral:rRNA from 1 species